AUUGAACGCUGGCGGCAUGCCUUACACAUGCAAGUCGAACGGUAACAGGUCUUCGGAUGCUGACGAGUGGCGAACGGGUGAGUAAUACAUCGGAACGUGCCUAGUAGUGGGGGAUAACUACUCGAAAGAGUGGCUAAUACCGCAUGAGAUCUACGGAUGAAAGCAGGGGAUCGCAAGACCUUGUGCUACUAGAGCGGCCGAUGGCAGAUUAGGUAGUUGGUGGGAUAAAAGCUUACCAAGCCGACGAUCUGUAGCUGGUCUGAGAGGAUGAUCAGCCACACUGGGACUGAGACACGGCCCAGACUCCUACGGGAGGCAGCAGUGGGAAUUUUGGACAAUGGGCGCAAGCCUGAUCCAGCAAUGCCGCGUGCAGGAUGAAGGCCUUCGGGUUGUAAACUGCUUUUGUACGGAACGAAAAGCCCUGGGUUAAUACCCUGGGGUCAUGACGGUACCGUAAGAAUAAGCACCGGCUAACUACGUGCCAGCAGCCGCCGUAAUAC
rnacentral:rRNA from 1 species